CAAAGAAAACCAUUAAGACAUUUUUCAUUUCUCUUAAAAGUGAUCCUCAAACUGUACUGUCUGUCCCGGUAGUGUGAUAAUUCUGAAGUUACCAGAGCAUAAUUUAAAAAAAGCCAAAUCACAAUAAAACAGCAAACAUCUAAUCCCCUAAUCACAACUAUCAAUCACCCAAAAUUUGCACACAUUGAUCAUUUUUACCAAAACCUAUCACAAGCGAUGAUGAUUACAAUGAACUAUCAAUACCUAUUUCUAGGAAAUCAGACUAUCACUGCAAUACAAAUCGAGUCAAACAAACAAAUCCCAUCAUUCCAUCUUUCUAUCAUAACUGCUUAGAAAUCAUUAAAGCUCUCAAGGUACUUUUCCAAUGAGAACUCUCCAUCAGAUUUAUAAAAGUCAACCUGAACGUCCAUCAAAAUCUGCAGUUUAAGUUACCACAAUAAGACAAUUCUCAGUGUACUAUCACGCUAUCACUUGCCUUGUAAGCAUUUACGAUUAAGAUUGCCCUGGGGUUUGACAAAUCAGAAAGAGUCAAUUAAAAACCAAAAACACUACCAACAAUUUAAUUCUUCGAAAGAACUUCAAUAAAGACCAGAAGAUAAACCUGGUUAAAGGCGAAUUAAAAAAAAAAAUUGCAACCCGAGUCAGCGAAAAUUCUAAAAAUAUCAUCCUGAACUCAGCACGUGGACAGACCAAGUGGUAAACUGUAAUGGGCAGUCAAAAGUUCCCUUGUUAACGAUGGGAGGGCAGGGGAGGCCUGCCUUUUUAGCAAUGCAGAGAUGGAAAGCAGCAGAAGUGAAGAAAAUUCUUUAACAAAUCAUUGCGAGCUAAAUUGCCAAACUGCAAAACACCGCGUUACUCUUUAGGUUAGCCUUCCCCAAGAAGAAAAAUGAUUUUUUAAAUUUAAAUUAUUCCAGUAGGAUCCAAAGAAGGCUAAGGGCCCGGCUGGAAACAGAAAGGGAAAGUUUGGGGGCAGCACGUAAGAAGGCGGUGGAAGUUCCAGAGCCCGGAUCCCGGAGGGGGCGAGAGGGGCGAGAGCAGCGGCUGAGGCCGCCGGCUGGAGGAGGGGAGCACAGCUGCCGGUCCCGGUCCCGGUCCCGGUCCCGGAGCGAGCGUGAAAAGGAAGAGGAGGUGGCCGAGAGGAGAAUGGAAGACGCUUCAGCGCCGGACUGAGAGCCCUAGCUUCUUGCUGGAUGGAAACUGCCCUCAGCUCGUAGAGACCACCUGCAGUUCCUUGCCAUGAAGCUUGUGUUAAUGAAAAUCACAGAACAGUAAGCAACAAGACAUGGCUGUGAAUGAAGUAGGCAAGGUGAGACAUGAGAAGCCACAAAAUCUCAAAAGUCCUCAUGAGACAAAGUGCCACAAGUAAGGAAUGCAAGCUCUAUGAAGGCAGAGAGCUUUGUCUCUUUUGUUUACCACCUUAUACCCUGCCCCCAGCACCUGAAACAGUAUCUGGCACAAGUUGAGAGCUUAAUAAAUACUUGCUGAAAUAAUGAAUGAGAGAUAAAGACAAACUGGCACUUAUAAACAUAAGCCACUUUCUUGUAUACACUAAGCGGAAUGAGUAACCAAUUAGUCUAAAGUCUUGAAAACAACUUGCCACUGUUAUAGGGCUCAAGAUUUUUGUAAGCCACUAUUAAUUUAUUAGAUUUAUGAUAAAGAUAAUAGGCUUGGCUUGUUUUACAAUUGGAGUAUUUUAGGUAAUAACUAUAUGAAAUUAUUUUUAAAAUAUGCAAUUCUAUAGUGAAGUAGAAUUCUAAGGAUGGAAUGGUUAAACAUUUAUUAGGAAAAAAAUUCUCACUUAAAACUUCUCUAGGAAAGGACAAAUUGCAUUUAAAACUUUUCUAGGAAAAUUAUGGGCAAUUUAGAAGCCAUACAUUUCCAGAGAAACAGAAACCAUAGUUGGCCUAUCAAGAGAUUUCCUCUAGAACCACCUUCUACAUCAACUAGAUCCAUGCCUCAACACCAGCCAUCACUCAGAAAGAACCCCCUAAGUAUCAGGAAUACAAAUUCUUACACCACUAUGUAAUAUUUUUAAAUAGAGAAAAACAACCAAACAGUGAGGAAAUAUUUUACGAGCAAAAUAAACAGAGACAAAAAAAUACUGGGUAUCAUAAAACCAGGACAAUUUCAAAACAUAAUCCAAAGUAAAAGAUUAAUAUAACAAUGGGUUGCAAUUAUAUAAUGGACUUUCCUUGGAUACCAAAAUGCAUUAGAAAGCCCAUUUAAUUCUCAUGCCACUGUCUGGUCAUUUUAGUUCCCAUUCUACCAGAAAGUGAAAUAUCUGUGUUUUCUCACCUUGGUCUCUUUACUUCUAUGAAUUCCUGAGCUUUAGUAAAGACAAAUUCUCAAUCAGAAUCUGAUUUCAUUGUAGAAGUCUUAUUUCCAAAAAUCUAACAUUAGAUUUAGAACAGAAUUUUUCCCUUUUGCACUUUUAUUUAUUAGCUUUUCAGGCUCUAUGUAAAAUAAAAAUAAUAAACUCAAAAGAAAGAAAACAUUGUUGAAAUCAAAGACUCUUUUGGAACAGAAGAGGUCUCUCAUUUGCCAGAUGAGGAAAUGGAGGUCCAAAGGACUGAGACAGAUAACUUUUUAGUGGUGGCAGCCAAUUUCCAAUCGGAAGCCAGGUUUAAGGACUUCCAGUCUUGUGGUCUUUGUCCCACACUAUACUGUGGGAAUGCUACAGCAACAAAUUACAAAAAAAAAGCAAAGAAUUAUGUUAAGUGGAAUUACUUAUCAUUUGAAUCCAAAAAAUAUCAGAUUCCCUCUUUCCUACAAAGAAAAAUUAAGGCUUUCUCUAAAGUGUGGCAUACGAAGGUUCUCACUACUUGUAAGAAAAAAAUGUCUUGUAGGGAAGAUUUUGCUUGGUAAUUAGUAUUUAAUAACUUAGGAAAUAAUGAAUGUAGAUUAAUUUAUUGUUUUAAGUACUCUUUACCAGUUCUCAAAUCCAAGAGACUGUUCCCAUAUUUGGUUGCAAGAAUGAAGUAUUUUAGAAAAUGUAUAGCUUAUUUUGGUGUAUUCUUUCUUUAUAAAUAUGCAAAAGCCUAUUUCCAUUCUUCCAACUUUAUCCCAACUCUACUUUGCAGUUCAGUAUGCACAGCAAAAGAAAUGGUAAAGUAAGCAUAAAGGACACAUUUACAAAACAUAAGUAUUUCUGUGUCUAUUACAAAUUGAAAGUCAAACUACUGAUAGUUGUUUUUCCACAGAUCCCUACAAAACGCAUAUAUCAAAUCAGUGAGCAAACAAAAAGCUUGUCUAAAUGUCUUUGUCUUUAUGAUUAAACUGGUUCACUCAUGUGCGCCAGUGAGUGCUGCUUUGACUCCAGGUGGUCAGCAAAUCUCUCUGGUUAAUGGCGUCCAGAGGAAAACUGCUUUCCUCUCUGUCUGAUUCUUUACUGCCUGCCCUUAGCUGCCUGCAUUUUGCCCCAGUAUGUGAGAGGCUACCUCAGUUACUCGAUAUUUGCCCCCAGAAUGGGGUUAAUUUUUGGUCAAAAUUGUGAUUUCUCUUAAUGGUGGAAUCAAUAUUCUGAUUCUGAUUCUAAAUCUCUUAUUAUAAUGAAGAGGUAGGAAAAAAUAUUCCUUAAUCUCGUGCACCCAUCCUCAUACUCAAGUAGACGUUUAGACAUCCAUUCAUACUCAGCAAAUAUUUAUCAAGGAUGUUUCUGGGUCGUAGGUGCUAGCAGUAAGCAAGAUUGAUUCAGUUCAUGCUCUCAUAGCACUCAGUCAGGGGUGGGGUGGACAGGAAGUACAGAAUAGAGACAUUAAACAAACACUGAUAGGCAUUGUUCAACAACAGUUGGGAUAUGUGUCAUGGAAAGGUAAAAGAAGCCAUGAGAGCUUGUAAAGGUGAGUGUAAUUUAACGUAGGUGAACAGAGACUCCUUGUCCAAGGAAGCAGUGUGUAAACUGAAAAAUGAAUAGAAAUUGGCCAGGGAAGGGGAAUAGAGGUAGUGAAAAGUCCCAGGCAGAGGAAACAGCCAGCAGAAAGAAACUUAAGGCAUGAAGGUGAGCAGAGGGAACAGAAAAAAGGCCAACGUGGCUGGCAUGUAAUGAGACAGAAAUAGGCUGAAGCCAGACCAUACAGGGAGUUAAACAUCAUGUUGGAGUUUGAACUGUAUUAUAACCUAUGAUAGGACUUUGGGAAAGGAGAUGACACAAGCAUGUUUUUAAAAGAUCAAUUUGACCACUGUGUGGAGAAUGAGUUAGUAGAGAUAACCAAAAGGAGGUGUGGCACAAGCAAUUAGAAGGGUAUCUGUUAUAAACUGAAUGUUUGUGCCCCAACUUCAUAUGUUGAAGCCCUAACCCCCAAUGUGAUGGUAUUUGAAGGGGGAACCUUUGGGAGGUAAUUAGUUUUAGAUGAGAUCAUAAGAGUGAAGCCCCCAUGAUGGGGUUAUUGUCCUUAUAAGAAGAAGAAGAAGAAGAAAGAGAUUGCUCUC